AAUAUCUACUAGCUAUUUACUGAAAAAUGAAAAAAAAAGUGUCAAAACAUUUGUUUCCUAAAAGGAAAAAAAAAAAAUUUUUAAAUAUUUUUUGUUUAUAAAUGUAUUAAAACCAAUCAUUAAAUUUGUAUGUAUGAUGUCAAACCCCAUCCAAAUGAUCAAAUCCUUUUACUGUAUUAUAAAUUUGUCUUGUUUAAACAUAGAAAUGCAAAAAAAAGGAUCACAAAAAAGAAUGAAGAUCAAUCAAGAAAACCGUUUGUACAGACAAAACCGAUAAUGAUCACCAGAGAAUCUCAGACUGAUCCUGUAGUCAUUAAGGAUGUUGUUGGUGUACUAUCAUUGCCUAAUUCACCCAUAGCUACAUCCACACCUUAUGUUAGUGAAGGAGAAUCAACCCCACUUUGUCAAAGUGAUGGAGAUAAAACAUUUAAUCCAGAUGACACAUAUCUUUCGUUUGACAGUGAUGACAGCAGUGCAUCAAAUAGACCUGCAGACGAAAAGAAAUAUAUUGUUUUUGAAGCUCAGCUUCUGAGUCUUUUCACAAAAUGUCAAUCUUGCAAUGCUGAGACAAAGGGAAAGAUUGUACAUAGGAUUGGUACAUUUAUUGUGAUACACAAGCAAUGCAGAAUUUGUGAUUACACCAAAGAAUGGAGCAGCCAAUCUAUGGUGAGAGAUACACCAGCAGGGAAUAUGCUAAUGUCAGCUUCUCUACUAUACUCUGGGUCCUGCAUGUCAAAAUCCUUGCGAAUGCUAAAAUUCCUUAACUUGGUAUCAAUUUCUGAAAGAACAUUUUACAGACAUCAGGACAUUUUCUUACAUCCAUGUAUCACCACUGUAUGGCACAAUGAAAGAUAAAAGUCUUUAAAAGCAGGUAAAUGCUCUGAAUCCUUGGUGUUAGGAGGUGAUGGAAGAGCCAACAGUCCCGGCCAUACUGCUAAGUUCGGCUCUUACUGUCUGAUGGAGCUAAAUAAAUACAAGAACUGUUUAGAUGAUUUUAAUAUUUCAAAAAACGGCAAUAAUUACAAUUAGUUAUAUAUUAACUUUAUAUUAUAGAAACCAUAGUGUGUCAAAGACAGUGAUACAGGCCUAAUAUUCAAACUUAACUUAUGCAACUCUUGGAGAUGUACUCUUAAAACUGAUUUUAAAAGUUUGCACUUAAGUCUCUGUGUAUAAUGAAUCCUACUCCUCCUUGACUAUUUUCAUUCCCUCUGGUGUAGAGUAUAUUCCCAUUUUUCGGUUGAUCUAGGUUCUCACCAUUCGUCACAGCAUUCGUCUCGUUCUUCACAAUCACGUACCAACUAUGCGCACACGUUUAUUAGCUAGAAGUUCACAGUUUGAUUUAAAAGAUAAAUUGCUUAAGUUGGAAGAAAAACUAGCGGCUAUGAAAGUGGAAUUGGAAUUUUCGGAUGAGGAAUCGAAAUUGCAACAAUUGCAUCUUGAUAAUGAGACUAUGUUGAAGCAACUUUAUCAAAAAAUAGAACUGGCUAAACACAGGCUGUUUUGGAAAAGAUGCUGUUCGGUAGUUUCGAAUGCUGAAUAAUUACAUGAGACCUCAUUGGUUACUGCACAUACUCGACGUCAUUGAGUGCAUGCUCACUGUUUUGCCAGCAUUCCCCAGCGCAUGCUAACUGUGUUUUACAUGGACAUUUUUUGGUAACUGAGCAUGUGCACUGUUACCAAAUUCUCAUUUCUUCUACUUGCAUGUACAGGUUCAAACAAAGAAAACGAUGUUCGUUUACUUUUCAAUAUGAUAGCAUUAAGUGUAACCACUGAACCUGAUAAAACACACAAAAUAUUAAUCAGUGGUUUAAUACACUAGUCCCCAAUGACCAGUAACGGAACUCUAAGCGAGUAAGUAAGUAAGUAUUCAUAUACUGUACAUCCAUCCUCAUCAAGAAUGAAGAGUGGCCAGUUAGAUCUAGAAUGAGCUGGAUAAUGUAACAAAUGAACUAUAUAGCUGGGAAUAAAAGACAGCAGAACACAGGCGUGUCCCUUGACAUUUGACUUUAUUUUUUAGCUUACAAUACUGUCUACAGAGACAGGCAUUUAUUUCAUUGGUUAAUUGAUUGCCCUAGUUUAUUGUUAAUGUCAUUUACAUAAAUACAUAAAUGCAUUUCAAUUAUCUAAAAUUAACAUUAUCAAAUAACAUUACUGUACCAGUAUGAUACCUUAAAAUGUUCUUAACACUCGUAAUAAACUUAAUUGACAAUAAACUUAAUAAAAUAUUCUCAGUUAUUCCUUAAGUAAAAACUUACAAAUUAUACUUAAGUGACAAACAGAUAUUUUGCUAUAUCUCAAUUAUUGGUCAAUAUGCAAAAAGUAAUAUUUGUAUCAAUGAAAAGGAAUAGUUUCCUACAUGAACUAAAAUAUAAGUUUGCUUAUAACUCAUAUCAUGUUUAAAUGUCAUGCAUAUUUAGAGUACACAAAUAUAUUUUUAUAACCUGGUAAUCACAUGAAAAGGAGGAAAAAUGUAAUAAUCCAUUACAUAUGGUUUAUAUUGACACAUGUUGGAACAAGAGUUAACAAUGAGCUACUGUAAUAGCAACAGGCACAUGUGUCUGUAUGAUAAUCUUUAUUUUAAGAUGAAAGAAGACGUGAACUUGAUUUUUAGUAUUUCAACUGCCAUGAAAUUACAUUGUUGCAAUAAUUCACGUGGAAAUCUUUCUUACACAUACCAUCCCACAUCAUUUCAAUUAUAGUGAAAUAAAUCCAAUUAUGUGUACUUAUGAUAAUUAUACCUAUACAGUACUUUAAUAAUUUUUACCUGACUGAAGUGAAGAAAACUAGGAAUAAGAAACAAUUAAGUAGCUAGAACAAAACUAAAUUAUUCCUUAUUAAACUUAAUACUAUCUUUAUUAUCUUUCAGUACAUUUUAAUCUAAAAUACAAUUUUCAUUGAUAAUGUCAGGUUAAUAAAAUAGCUUAAACAAUGUAGAUUUUGCUUAGUAUUUACUUAAUAUUAAAUCAUAUUUUUAAGUGAGUUGCACAUUGAAGAUGAUAAUCUAAGUUUUUUUUUAAUGACUAUAGUUUAUUUCAACACAGUUUUCACCAUCAUUGAUACAAUUAUUGUCACUCUUAUUGCUGGUAAUAACCUUCAAAUAAUACAUAAAUAAUAAUAAUAAUAAUAAAUAAAUAACAAAAAAGUGAUAAUAAUGUUAAAUAAUUAAAAAUAUAUAACAAUAAAAAUUACCACAUCAUGUAGCUUUUGAUUGCAAGACGACGUGACCCUGGGAUGGAUUCACUCAUCUGUGACGGUCCUGCGUUUUCUGCACAAAGUAGAUUCUACCUAAACUACAUCCUAGAAUUCAUACGCAGAGAACUAAUGUUGUCGCAUGGGCAGAUGAUUCCAUAAGACGCAAUUACAUUCUAGAUCUUGUGUUAUCAUGACAAUUAACAAUCAAUAAUAGAUGAUGAUAAUAAUGAUAUAAUAUGUAGUACCAAAAAACAAGCACAAAUUAUAACUGUUGUCGAAAACAUUCACCUUUAGUUGCCAACUCUCAUUAAGGCCUGUUUAUACUUCAUAUAGAAAACAAAAGAAAUAAGAAGUUAUACACUAGAAAGAUUCGAUAACGAUUUACCAGUUAUGCGAUAACAUAUUUUGACAAAUCAAAUCAGAUGAUGUCAUA
rnacentral:misc_RNA from 1 species